GAACUAACAGAAGUAUGGUAGGUUAUUUUAUUUUCCAUUUGACUUUAACUUUUCCAAAACAACAAAAUUGAGGCAUGGAGGCGGCUGCCGGAGGAGGACAUCAGCUGAGUGAUCUGCCGGAGCGAAUUCUACUUCACAUCCUCUCUAAGUUGUGGGAACCAUCAUACUCUCUACAGGAUUCUUUUUUACUUUCCCCAAUAGUCAAAAUCAAAAAUGACAUUCUUGCUUUCCUAGCCUAAAUAUGUUGCCAUGGACUGAUCUCUUGACUCCAAGGUUCCACCAGAUCAAUUAACUGAUCUGCUAUCCUUGAUUGAGGUAUUAUCUGGUUCCACUAUCUUGGAACACUUGGAAGUAAAAAAGAGUUUGGGGCAUACAACGUCUGGAAGUAGAUCUGUGAAGAUGACAGUAUUGACGAUAGAAGAGUACUACGAUAAGAAUCAUGAUAUUUUCCUUGAAAUAUAGCCCUGCAGGUUGAACAUUUUGGAAAUCUGGGGAUUGUGUAGUCAGAUACGCAUCAUGUAGAGAAAUGUUUCUUCCCUUAAUUAUGCUAUCCUUCAUUUUCAUUUUGAUUUUAAGGUUGAGGAAAGCAACUUAGAGAAAGAGUUUAGCUGUUUGAAGAAACUUCUUCAUGGUGUUGCCCAGGUCGACUGUCUUGAACUGAGUAGCUGGUGCAUCAAGUGCAUGUCCAUUCCGAAGUUGAAAGCGUGGCAGUCUCCAACAACAAGCUGGAAUUUGUUGGACCUUCAAAUAAAAUAACGCCAGUUAGACUUUCCUGGAAUUUACAGCUUGCUACAAAGCUCAUUGGAUAUUGAGACAUUGUUCAUUGAUUUGCAUGGGGAUUCAUCAAGAGGCUAGUUGUUAAUGUACACAAACAAGGGUAAACAAAUCCACAGGUUUGAGACACAUAACUUUAACGGCUCAUUUACACACCUGAAGACUGUCGAGAUCAUUAGCCGUAGGGGACUACUAAGUGAAAAUAAGUUUCUACUGCCACUGAUGAUGCUCAAAUGACACAGGAGUUACUAAGCCUUCCAAGAUCAUCUCCACACAUUUCAAUUGUCAUUUCUCAUCCAUAACUUUUGGACCCUAUGUUUUGGGACAAUUGCAACAUCUCAAACUAAAUUUGUAAAGAAAUCUAGCAGUGGAACCUUUGAAGGAAAAGUUUUUUUGUAAACUGAGAAGUCUAUUGUAAUAUAUCUAUGGUUGUUGAAACAUUUAUGUUACUAUAUUUGUAUGAACAUAUCGAGAAGUUCUAUCGAUGGAUAAGCACUUCUGUAAACUGAUGCAAACCAAAUAAUAAUAAUGCACUCCCUUUGAAA